AAAUAAGAAGCAAAAAUUGCAUUUAAUUUCGACCUAAAAAUAUGAUAAAUAAUUUAUCCUUAUUUU
rnacentral:tRNA from 1 species